GGAUCAGGGCCUAAAUGAGGAGCAAAUCUCAGUUUACCCUCUUUAUUCAAAAUGGUGGCUCUGCAGUAAGUAGGCUCUGCUGGUUUUGUAUAUGUUCAUAGUGAUUAAGAGUGCUGGAGGUGAUUCCCCUUUUUAGAGACUACAAUACUUCCCUAAGAUAGAGAACUAAGGCACAUUGAACUUGAGCAAACAAUUCAAAUUUCAUACAAGAAGCAUGCAGAAGAAGCAGGAAUUGAAUCCUCCUGAGGCCAGUCUGAUACCUUAACCAGGAGACCAUUCUUCCUGUACUCACUGUGGCAGCUGACUGCUUUCAGAACAUAUAUUUAUUAAACACUGACUUCCAACUGAGAGAGAAAAGCAGAGACAGUGAGGAGAGAGAAGGCAAAAAUCACUAUAGAGAAAUAAAGAAGAAUAAAAAAAGGAAGAGCAGCAGACAAGGGAAUAAGGAAAUGGAAAAAGGAAAAUAAAAGCACCAGCAGCUCAACAAGAGGAUUAAAUGAGAGAAAGGCAAUGUCUUCAAAGAGCCCAGACUCCUGAUCAAAAUGGGAUAAAUAUCCAGCUACCUGAACCAGCUCUGUACACUAAGUUUCUGAACACUUAUUCUGGACUCUUUGGCAUAACAGAGGUGAAUCAGGCCCAAAUGAAAAGAGAAUCUCUAUGAUCUGUCCCUGUUUCUGGCAAACACACUGCCACAAGGAUAGGAUAGCUGCUCUGUCCCCUUGCAAUUGUUGCCGUGUGAGCUGCUCCUUCUCCUGCCUGCACCAUUCAACUCAAGCUCUGCUGGCCACAAGGAAGAAGCGAGAAGGCCAUGAAAAACUCCCUUUCCAGAGAGAGGCUAGUAGAGGUGAUGGAGUUAUCAGAGGGCAGGGUCUGAGCUCAGGUUCCAGUCAAGCAGGGCCGGCUCCAGCAUUUUUGCUGCCUCAAGAGGCAGAAAAAAAACCUGAGAGGGACUGAGGGACCCGCUGCCGAAUUGCAGCCAAAGAGCCGGAUCUGCUGCCCCUCUCCAUUGGCCGCCACAAGCACCUGCUUGCUGUGCUGGUGCCUGGAGCUUUAAAGUAGCUUUAAAACUGAACAAGUUACUGUUGUUAACUAAGAUUAUAGAACACUGUACAGAUGCUAUCAUAGUUAAUUGUUUCACGCUGCCUUUCAAGUUCUAGGUGUACAUAAACAUAAAAUGAGAUCAAGUAGGCAUACUUUUUGAACUGCACUCACUCUAAACAGUACGUCAUAAAUGUAGGAAUUUAUGUUAGGUCUGGCCUAGAAAUUAGAUCAAUUUACCUAUGUUGCUCAGGGCUGUGGACAUUUUUGUGCCAUAGUCACCAUAAUUAGGUCAACCCAACCCCUGGUAUAGAGGUAGCUAGAUCGAUGACAGAAGAAUUCUUCCAAUCUACCCACUGCCUCUUGGAGAGAUGGAUUAAGUACAUCAUCCAAAAACCCCUUCUGACGAUGUAGGAAGAGUCUAUGCUAUGGCACUACAGUGGCACAGCUGCAGCACCAUAGAUGUGCCAGUGUAGCAUCAGUAGUAUAGACAUGCCUUUAGAUAUAUAGGAGUAUUUGUCAGAUCCCGAGGCUAAUAUUAUUCACUGGGAAAUAAGUUAAAAGGGUUGACUGGUAUAGAUCCUUUGGAAAGGAUACCUUGAUGAAUUGGCAUGCAAGUAAUUGACCAAAUUAUUUUGUGAUCUAGCUUUGGAUUGUUUUCCGUCUGUUGUAUUAGCAACACUGGGGUUGAUAAAGUGAAGCCCUAUUCUGGGGGACUCAGUCAAAAAUCUGAACAAAGUUACAUUCCCUAGAUAGCUACUGAGUAUAAGUGUUAUUUUCAAUUGUGGUUGUGUGUUUUGAUUCCAGAAACAUGAACAAUUAUAUUGACCAGCUUUCUAAUUUAUGCAGCCAAACCCUAGUCCAAUACAAUGUUUGCCUUUUAUAUUCUCUACUACUGCUGUUAAGGAUAGUGAACAAAGCUUUGUGAAACUAAAUUCAACUCCAGUCCUUUUCUUUAAUCAAGCAAUUAAAAUUAAAAGAAUCCUAAAAAAAAAGUGUUACAGGUAAUCAGUUAAGCAGUUGCCUGACUAAGCUUGGUUUUAUACCCUAUCUUUCUGACAAAGCACUCUGGCCAAAAGCUCCAGAGGAUAAGGUGCUCUCUGCUCUCAUCUUUUGGUGA